rnacentral:rRNA from 1 species
AAAGCGCACGCAGGCGGUCUGUCAAGUCGGAUGUGAAAUCCCCGGGCUCAACCUGGGAACUGCAUUCGAAACUGGCAGGCUAGAGUCUUGUAGAGGGGGGUAGAAUUCCAGGUGUAGCGGUGAAAUGCGUAGAGAUCUGGAGGAAUACCGGUGGCGAAGGCGGCCCCCUGGACAAAGACUGACGCUCAGGUGCGAAAGCGUGGGGAGCAAACAGGAUUAGAUACCCUGGUAGUCCACGCCGUAAACGAUGUCGAUUUGGAGGUUGUGCCCUUGAGGCGUGCUUCCGGAGCUAACGCGUUAAAUCGACCGCCUGGGGAGUACGGCCGCAAGGUUAAAACUCAAAUGAAUUGACGGGGGCCCGCACAAGCGGUGGAGCAUGUGGUUUAAUUCGAUGCAACGCGAAGAACCUUACCUGGUCUUGACAUCCACAGAACUUUCCAGAGAUGGAUUGGUGCCUUCGGGAACUGUGAGACAGGUGCUGCAUGGCUGUCGUCAGCUCGUGUUGUGAAAUGUUGGGUUAAGUCCCGCAACGAGCGCAACCCUUAUC